rnacentral:rRNA from 2 species
GCGCAUGUGCUGUGAGCUCGAUGAGUAGGGCGGGACACGUGGUAUCCUGUCUGAAUAUGGGGGGACCAUCCUCCAAGGCUAAAUACUCCUGACUGACCGAUAGUGAACCAGUACCGUGAGGGAAAGGCGAAAAGAACCCCGGCGAGGGGAGUGAAAAAGAACCUGAAACCGUGUACGUACAAGCAGUGGGAGCCCCACCACCAAAGCAUUCUCUGGUGUUGAAGGCCCUGCAAAGCAGCAUCGCGGUGGCGGAGCGUCGUUUGCGACGCCCAACACACAAAACAAGCGGUGAGUGCUUUGGGGUGGGGUGACUGCGUACCUUUUGUAUAAUGGGUCAGCGACUUAUAUUCUGUAGCAAGGUUAACCGAAUAGGGGAGCCGGAGGGAAACCGAGUCUUAAUUGGGCGUUAAGUUGCAGGGUAUAGACCCGAAACCCGGUGAUCUAGCCAUGGGCAGGUUGAAGGUUGGGUAACACUAACUGGAGGACCGAACCGACUAAUGUUGAAAAAUUAGCGGAUGACCUGUGGCUGGGGGUGAAAGGCCAAUCAAACCGGGAGAUAGCUGGUUCUCCCCGAAAGCUAUUUAGGUAGCGCCUCGUGAAUUCAUCUCCGGGGGUAGAGCACUGUUUCGGCUAGGGGGCCAUCCCGGCUUACCAACCCGAUGCAAACUGCGAAUACCGGAGAAUGUUAUCACGGGAGACACACGGCGGGUGCUAACGUCCGUCGUGAAGAGGGAAACAACCCAGACCGCCAGCUAAGGUCCCAAAGUCAUGGUUAAGUGGGAAACGAUGUGGGAAGGCCCAGACAGCCAGGAUGUUGGCUUAGAAGCAGCCAUCAUUUAAAGAAAGCGUAAUAGCUCACUGGUCGAGUCGGCCUGCGCGGAAGAUGUAACGGGGCUAAACCAU